CAAACACACACGUGUAUAUGUACUUGAAGACUGAACUUUGAUUCUCCAAGCUAAACAAUCGAUUCCAAAGAGUGCUCUGAAAUACCAAAUCAACAGAAUCUCUGUUCACUCUUCUCUCCCAUAUCUCUGCUGCCAACUUUUAAUCCCUUUCAAGUUUCACCAAUAGGGAAACCAUUUUAGCUCCAAAUAAACCACCAUGAAAAAACUCAGAGGUUUCAGGCCUGGCCGCAGGCUUGUCAGAGUCUUCAAAUGGAUAAUCCGAUCCAGGAGAAAACCCACUACUGGUUCCCUUAUCUCGGAUCAUCCAGCUCGCUCCCUUAAUCCCAUCUCCAAAAUCUUGGCCUUAGUUCGUAACUUACGACGUGGAGCUCUUCCAAACUCAAACCUGGGAUAUAUCCGGUUGGGUCAGGCAAAACCAGCGGAGGUGCCGAACGGACACUUGGCUGUGUACGUGGAAGAAUCAAUUGGUGACAAGCGGCGGGAAGUGGUGCCUGUAAUAUACUUCAAU
rnacentral:misc_RNA from 1 species